rnacentral:lncRNA from 1 species
UUGAAUUUCGUUGUUGUUCUACAAUACUGGAUACUUAUAAAGACAAGUAAAGGAGCAUCUCUAUAUCCUAAUGUAACCAUUUAUUCUAGCUGAAAAUCCAUAACCAAAAAUCAUCAAGAAGAUAAUAUACUACUGAAAGACAUUAUAUGAUUUUUGCAUGAAAAUUCAGAUUCAAUCAGCAAAUAUCUUAUGACAUGCUCUAUAUAGUAGUUAAUUCAACUCCGCAAUCAUCUGAUGAAACUAAUAUCUCAACAAUCAAAUAC